rnacentral:rRNA from 1 species
GGGGAAGCUGAUGGCAAAGCGGUUAAAUAUUCCGCUACCUCGAUGGACGUUAGGCUAAGGCGUGACGCAGAAGUGAAACUCCCGCGUGCUGACGAAUGCACGUUAAAGGGCGUAGGCCGGAAAGCAGGCAAAUCCGCUUUCCGUUAAGGCUGAACCCCGACAGUACCCGGAUUCUCACGAUGAAGGGAUAGUGGAGGUAAUCAUGCUGCCAAGAAAAGCGUCGUAGUUUGUCCAACGAGCUCGUACCCCAAACCGACACAGGUGGGUGAGGAGAGUAUCCUAAGGUGCUCGAGUAAAUCAUGGCUAAGGAACUAGGCAAAUUAGAUCCGUAACUUCGGGAGAAGGAUCCCCUGACUUUGUCAGGGCGCAGUGAAAAGGCCCAAGCGACUGUUUACCAAAAACACAUGUCUCUGCUAAGCCGCAAGGCGAUGUAUAGGGACUGACACCUGCCCGGUGCUGGAAG